UCUAGAACUCAAGAUAUGAGCUGGAAACCGAACAGUGUUUGAGCUGCAGGACAGAUUCUGACUUCUCCGUUGUUGCUAAGAUUUGAACUUGAAAACAGCAGAAUUGAGUCUUAGACUCUUCAUGAAAGUUUUAGGUCUAUGUCUUAGCUUUCAUC
rnacentral:pre_miRNA from 1 species